rnacentral:rRNA from 1 species
UACAGAGGGUGCAAGCGUUGUUCGGAAUCAUUGGGCGUAAAGGGCGUGUAGGCGGUCUGUUAAGUCAUGUGUGAAAUCUCGGAGCUUAACUCCGAAACUGCAUUCGAUACUGCCGUGCUUGAGGACUGGAGAGGAGACUGGAAUUUACGGUGUAGCGGUGAAAUGCGUAGAUAUCGUAAGGAAGACCAGUGGCGAAGGCGGGUCUCUGGACAGUUCCUGACGCUGAGGCACGAAGGUCAGGGGAGCAAACGGG